CACUGAUUGUCUUGUUAUAUUAACCCAAAAAAUUUCAAUCACUCUGCAUACUUAAUCCUAUAGACAUCCUUUUAAUCUUUUAAUCACAGACGUAACUUCAAUUUCACAAAACAGUCAAGAGUAAUCACACCCACUUCAUUAAAAAUCCCGAUUCCAGUACAAUACUUUAUCUAUUCAGCAACAAUUGCCUCAGUCUUCUCAAAACCCUAUGAAGAAAAAAAAUCUCAAUUCUCUGUCUUUUUUCCCCUCCGAAGCAUGAAGCUAGCUCUCCGCCCCUUCUCUCCUCUCAAAAACCUUAUUCUCUCCCC
rnacentral:lncRNA from 1 species